AACGAACGCUGGCGGCGUGCUUAACACAUGCAAGUCGAACGGAGUGGCGAACGGGUGAGUAACGCGUAAUCAACCUGCCCUUCAGAGGGGGAAAACAGUGGGAAACGACUGCUAAUACCGCAUACAGAAGGAGGGGAUUGCGUCUGAUUCGCUAGUUGGAGGGGUAACGGCCCACAAAGGCGAUGAUCAGUAUCCGGUCUGGGAGGAUCAACGGCCACAUUGGGACUGAGACACGGCCCAGACUCCUACGGGAGGCAGCAAUGGGGGAGCUGCCGAGAUGGAGGAAAGUCUGACGGAGCAACGCCGCGUGAGCGAUGACGUCCUUCGGGUUGUAAAGCUAUGUUAGUCGGGACGCGGUACCGGAAUAGAAAGCCACGGCUAACUACGUGCCAGCAGCCGCGGUAAUAC
rnacentral:rRNA from 1 species